rnacentral:rRNA from 1 species
UUCCGGUUGAUCCUGCCGGAGGUCACUGCUAUUGGGAUUCGACUAAGCCAUGCGAGUCGAGAGGGUUCGGCCCUCGGCUGACGGCUCAGUAACACGUGGAUAAUCUGCCCUAGGGUGGAGGAUAACCUCGGGAAACUGAGAAUAAUACUCCAUAGGUCUAAGAUACUGGAAUGUUCUUAGGCUGAAAACUCCGGUGCCCUAGGAUGAGUCUGCGGACUAUCAGGUUGUAGUCAGGGUAAAGACCUGACUAGCCUACGACGGAUAUGGGUUGUGAGAGCAAUAACCCAGAGAUGAUAUCUGAGACACGAUAUCAGGCCCUACGGGGCGCAGCAGGCGCGAAAACUUCACACUGCGCGAAAGCGCGAUGAGGGAAUCCCAAGUGCUUGCACGUAAGUGUAAGCUGUUUUUCUGUUUAAAAUGCAGAGAGAGUAAGGGCUGGGUAAGACGGGUGCCAGCCGCCGCGGUAAUACCUGCAGCUCAAGUGGUGACCGUUAUUAUUGGGCCUAAAACGUUCGUAGCCGGUUUGGUAAAUGCCUGGGUAAAUCGUGUAGCUUAACUAUACGAAUUCCGGAUAGACUGCCAAACUUGAGACCGGGAGAAGCUAGAGGUACUCCUGGGGUAGAGGUGAAAUUCUGUAAUCCUGGGGGGACCACCAGUGGCGAAGGCGUCUAGCUAGAACGGGUCUGACGGUGAGGAACGAAGCCCUGGGGCGCAAACGGGAUUAGAUACCCCGGUAGUCCAGGGUGUAAACGCUGCUUGCUUGAUGUUAGUUGGGCUCCGAGCUCAAUUAGUGUCGGAGAGAAGUUGUUAAGCAAGCUGCCUGGGAAGUACGGUCGCAAGACUGAAACUUAAAGGAAUUGGCGGGGGAGCA